rnacentral:rRNA from 1 species
UACGUAGGCAGCAAACGUUGUUCGGAAUUACUGGGCGUAAAGCGCGUGUAGGCGGUUCGGUAAGUCCGCUGUGAAAGUCGAGGGCUCAACCCUCGGAUGCCGGUGGAUACUGUCGGACUAGAGUACGGAAGAGGCGAGUGGAAUUCCUGGUGUAGCGGUGAAAUGCGCAGAUAUCAGGAGGAACACCAAUUGCGAAGGCAGCUCGCUGGGACGUUACUGACGCUGAGACGCGAAAGCGUGGGGAGCAAACAGG